CCUACGGGAGGCAGCAGUGAGGAAUAUUGGUCAAUGGCCGUAAGGCUGAACCAGCCAAGUCGCGUGAAGGAAGAAGGAUCUAUGGGUUGUAAACUGCUUUUAUAGGGGAAUAAAGGUAUCCACGUGUGGAGAUUUGCAUGUACCCUAUGAAUAAGCAUCGGCUAACUCCGUGCCAGCAGCCGCGGUAAUACGGAGGAUGCGAGCGUUAUCCGGAUUUAUUGGGUUUAAAGGGUGCGUAGGCUGUUUUUUAAGUCAGCGGUGAAAGCUUGUGGCUCAACCAUAAAAUUGCCGUUGAAACUGGAAGACUUGAGUGUGUUUGCGGUAGGCGGAAUGCGUGGUGUAGCGGUGAAAUGCAUAGAUAUCACGCAGAACACCGAUUGCGAAGGCAGCUUACUAAGCCACAACUGACACUGAAGCACGAAAGCGUGGGGAUCAAACAGGAUUAGAUACCCCUGUAGUC
rnacentral:rRNA from 1 species